AUACGAGGGGUGCAAGCGUUAAUCGGAAUUACUGGGCGUAAAGCGUUCGUAGGCGGUUUGUUAAGCAAGAUGUGAAAUCCCUGGGCUCAACCUGGGAACUGCAUUUUGAACUGGCAAGCUAGAACACUGUAGAGGGUGGUGGAAUUUCCAGUGUAGCGGUGAAAUGCGUAGAGAUUGGAAGGUACAUCAGUGGCGAAGGCGGCCACCUGGACAGAUAUUGACGCUGAGGAACGAAAGCGUGGGGAGCGAACAGGAUUAGAAACCCCAGUAGUCC
rnacentral:rRNA from 1 species